AACGAAAAACGUGCGUAACAUAAUGUCGUUGGAUGCGGGCCCGAUAACGCUGCGGAAUGACGGAAAGCCAAAUACAACCGAGCGUGCGCGGUGUGCAUGCCGUUCGUUGUCGCCGUUGCCGUCGCUGUUUGAAAAUCAUAAAUUCAACACCGUACGUUAUGUGCGCGCGCGUGCGCGUGCUCGUCCGCGGGACGAUUUUCUUUGAAUCCGAAAUAAUUUAUUUAAAAAUGUAGCGGCC